rnacentral:rRNA from 1 species
UACGUAGGGCGCAAGCGUUGUCCGGAAUUAUUGGGCGUAAAGAGCUCGUAGGCGGCUUGUCACGUCUGCUGUGAAAUCCCGGGGCUCAACCCCGGGCGUGCAGUGGAUACGGGCUGGCUAGAGGCAGGCAGGGGAGAACGGAAUUCCCGGUGUAGCGGUGAAAUGCGCAGAUAUCGGGAGGAACACCGGUGGCGAAGGCGGGUCUCUGGGCAGUAACUGACGCUGAGGAGCGAAAGCGUGGGGAGCGAACAGG